rnacentral:rRNA from 1 species
AUUGAACGCUGGCGGCAGGCCUAAUACAUGCAAGUCGAGCGCCGUAGCAAUACGGAGCGGCAGACGGGAAAGUAACACGUGGGAACGUACCCUUCAGUACGGAACAACACAGGGAAACUUGUGCUAAUACCGGAUGUGCCCUUCGGGGGAAAGAUUUAUCGCCAUUGGAGCGGCCCGCGUUGGAUUAGGUAGUUGGUGGGGUAAAGGCCCACCAAGCCGACGAUCCAUAGCUGGUCUGAGAGGAUGAUCAGCCACACUGGGACUGAGACACGGCCCAGACUCCUACGGGAGGCAGCAGUGGGGAAUCUUGCGCAAUGGGCGAAAGCCUGACGCAGCCAUGCCGCGUGAAUGAUGAAGGUCUUAGGAUUGUAAAAUUCUUUCACCGGGGAAGAUAAUGACGGUACCCGGAGAAGAAGCCCCGGCUAACUUCGUGCCAGCCGCCGCGGUAACAC